rfam:Triticum aestivum genome assembly, contig: Triticum_aestivum_CS42_TGACv1_scaffold_513414_6BS
AUAGUACUCCCUCCAUCCGGAAUUACUUGUCGCAGAAAUAGUUACAAAUGGAUGUAUCUAGAACUAAAUUAUGUCUAGAUACAUCCAUUUGUCCGACAAGUAUUUGCGGACGGAGGGAGUAUCAG